GGGAAAUCUUAGAGAUAAAUGCUAUGUAUUGGGAUGAGAUGUUAAUGGGGUUUCUAUAAUUAAGUGUUUAAAUUUGGUAUGGUCCCCAAUAAGCACAUAUUCUUUGUUGACUUUUAUCAAGAAAAUGUUCUCCACAAUUCCAUAUCAUUAUUAGCCUCACAAAUUAUUAUUGCACUUUUGAAAUAAGGUGGAAUAAUGGCUUUUUAUCUCUUUUUU
rnacentral:misc_RNA from 1 species